CCUACGGGACGCAGCAGUGGGGGAUAUUGCACAAUGGGGGGAACCCUGAUGCAGCGACGCCGCGUGGGUGAAGGAGUGCUUCGGCAUGUAAAGCCCUAUCGGCAGGGAAGAAGCAAGACGGUACCUGACUAAGAAGCCCCGGCUAACUACGUGCCAGCAGCCGCGGUAAUACGUAGGGGGCAAGCGUUAUCCGGAUUCACUGGGUGUAAAGGGAGCGUAGACGGCGACGCAAGUCUGGAGUGAAAGCCCGGGGCCCAACCCCGGUGCUGCUCUGGAAACUGCGUCGCUGGAGUACGGGAGGGGCG
rnacentral:rRNA from 1 species